UCCCUGCGGCCGUGUAUAGACUUCAGGGGGUUAAAUGCUAUCACGGUGAAGAAUAAAUACCCUCUCCCCCUCAUUUCAGCUGCUUUGGAGCCCGUCCAAGGGGCAACUGUCUUUACCAAGCUAGACUUGCGCAAUGCGUACCAUUUAGUGCGCAUAAGACAGGGGGAUGAGUGGAAGACAGCUUUUAAAACUCCCUUGGGUGACUUUGAAUAUUUAGUGAUGCCUUUCGGAUUAUGCAAUGCACCAGUGGUAUUUCAGGCCCUGGUGAAUGAUGUCCUUCAUGACUUUUUGAACAUUUUUGUCUUUGUAUACUUAGACGACAUUCUCAUCUAUUCGAAAGAUCUGACAGAGCAUCAAGUUCAUCUUCGCCUAGUAUUACAAUGGCUACUAGAGAACAGGUUGUUUAUUAAAGCCGAGAAGUGUGAAUUUCACAAAUCAUCUGUGUCCUUCUUGGGGUUUACACUGAGGAGUGGACAGCUAUGCUCUGACCCGGCAAAAAUAAAAGCAGUGCUAGAGUUGUCCGUGCCUGACUCCAGGAAACAGCUUCAGCUUUGCCAAUUUUUAUUGCCGCUUCAGGUAGAGGUUAGGCUAGAGAGAGGCUUUCUCCUGGACACCCGAAGCCAACGCAGACUUUAUGACCUUAGAAGAGAAGUUCGCACUGGCACCCAUCCUUCUCCAGCCUGACCCGUCCAAACAGUUUAUCCUGGUGGUAGACGCCUCAGAAUCUGGGGUGGGUGCUGUGCUGUCACAACGCUCUGCUGAAGAUAAUAAACUCCACCCCUGUGAUUACUUUUCCCACAGACUGACACCCUCCGAAAGGAACUACAAUGUGGGGGACCGUGAACCCCUGGCCAUCAAGCUCGCCCUUGAGGAGUGGCGCCAUUGGCUGGAGGGCACGCAACAUCCAGUGCUGGUCUGGACGGAUCACACGAACCUUUCCUAUCUCCAGUCAGCUCGGAGACUGAACCCACGUCAGCCCCGUUGGUCCCUAUUCUUCUCUCGGUUUAACCUCACCAUCUUGUACUUCCCUGGGUCGAAGAAAGUUAAACCUGAUGCCCUGUCCCGUCAGUUCUCUCCUGACAUGACCAGUGAGGCCCCCGUUACCCCAUGCUCCGAUGCCUGACUACGACCACUGCCACUACCUGGAGUGAGUACUUACUGUGGAUUGAGUAUGCCCACAAUGCUCAUGUUUCUGCCGCCACAGGGCUGUCCCCAUUUGAGGUGUCUCUGGGCUAUCCGCCCCCGCUGUUCCCUGCUGAUGAGGAGGAGAUCUCGGUGACUUCUGUCCAGCACCAUAUUCAUCGCUGUCGGAGGGUUUGGGCCAACACUGUGACAGCUCUGCAGCGUACCGAGGAGCAAAAUCACCACUAUGCGUACCACAUAGGGUUCCUGCACCAGAAUACUUCCCUGGUCAAAAGGUAUGGCUGUCUGCCCAAAAUAUUCCCUUGAAGUCCUUCUCCAAGAAACUGGCUCCACGAUUUAUUGGACCCUAUGUAAUCGACACUAUUUUGAGUCCCACGGCUGUUCGUCUGCGCCUGCCCGCUUCUAUGCGCAUUCACCCAACUUUCCAUGUCUGUCAAAUCAAGCCCGUCCAGACCAGUGACCUUUGCCCUCUAGCCGAGCUCCCUCCACCCUCCCGGGACCUUGGGGGCCACCCGGCUUUCCCCGUCCGCCGGAUUGUGGAUUCCCGGCGGGAGAUGGCAAUACUCGGUGGAUUUGGAGGGUUACGGCCCAGAGGACCGUGCCUGGAUUCCCCGGGCCUUCAUCUGUGACCCGUCCCUGAUCACAGAUUACCUGGCUUCUCUUCCCUCGAGCUCAUCUGGACCACCUGGAGGCGGUCAUUGAGGCGGGGGUACUGUCGUGCUGUGUAGGUCGACCAGAGGUCGUCCUUGAGCCACAGUCUGUUCCUGCAACAGGUGUUCCUGAUCGAUGGCUGAUUGCGUGUGCCUGGGAGGAGUAUUUAGGAGCCAGCCGCCAGUCCUUCGAUGCCUGAGUGUUUUGCCCAUGUGUACCUGUGAGGUGUGGGCGGAUUCCAUGCUACCCCGGACCUAGACAACCAGCACUUCAUUCUGACAGUUGGUGAUUUUGGAUUUUCUGUAUUCGACUGUUGGCUUGGCUCCUGGAUCCUUCUAAGACCCUGUCCCUUUGAGUACUCUGACCAGCCGUGGAUCGUUCCUUGCUGGACCACUUUCUGGAUUUCCUGACUCCCAGCCCCAUUGGAAGGCCCCUCCGGUUCAGUAACAACCAGAGACGAAGUAAGCAAGUUUGGACCUUUUUGAGAUAUCUGAAAUUUGUCCUGAAUUAACCAGCGCUUCUCUCUCUAGAGAACCCGAGAAGCCUGCGACCCUGCCUGUGCUUUUACAGGUCUUUAAAUAAGACCUGUAAAAUAAACCUUUUAACGUUC